rnacentral:rRNA from 1 species
GACGAACGCUGGCGGCGUGCUUAACACAUGCAAGUCGAGCGGUAAGGCCCUUUCGGGGGUACACGAGCGGCGAACGGGUGAGUAACACGUGGGUGACCUGCCCUCAGCUCUGGGAUAAGCCUGGGAAACCGGGUCUAAUACUGGAUAUGACUCCAUGACGCAUGUUGUGGGGUGGAAAGCCUUGUGCGGCUGGGGAUGGGCCCGCGGCCUAUCAGCUUGUUGGUGGGGUGANGGCCUACCAAGGCGACGACGGGUAGCCGGCCUGAGAGGGCGACCGGCCACACUGGGACUGAGACACGGCCCAGACUCCUACGGGAGGCAGCAGUGGGGAAUCUUGCGCAAUGGGCGAAAGCCUGACGCAGCGACGCCGCGUGAGGGAUGACGGCC